GAAACAAGUGUUCAAGCACGUUGGUGAGGAAGUUUCUAGGCCGAGUUAUUGAGGAAAGAUUCACUCUGAAUGAGAGCCACACCACGCCACGGGCUGGCGGGCCGGGCACCUGCACCCACCUCAGUCUGCUUCCCGACUGUGGGGGCCACGUGACCUCUGUCUGCUUCCUGACUGUGGGGCCACGUGACCUCUGUCUGCGUCCUGACUGUGGAGGCCACGUGACCUCUGUCUGCUUCCUGACUGUGGGGGCCACGUGACCUCUGUCUGCUUCCUGACUGUGGGGGCCACGUGACCAGCAGCCUGUGUCCUCGCUGGACGGUCCUGUCAUACUGUACCUUGGUGGUUUGCCUGUGUGUAUAUCUGUGAAGAUGCCAGAUCUCCUGGAAUUGGAGCUACAGACAGUUGUGAGCUGCCGUGUGGUUUGCUAGGAAUCGUGGUCCUCUGGAAGAGCAGCCAGUUAACUACUGGGCCAUCACUCAGCCUGGGGCUUAACUCUUAAUAAAUGGGUAAGAAAGCGUCCCUUAGCAGUAGGCUAAACGAGGACGCUCACGUUUCCUGGAAGGCCUCCUGACGCCAUGAGUGCUCUUACCUCUAGCCAGCCAGACCAACAUCCAGGCACCUCAGAAGAGCUCCUCCCACACAUGCCCUAUGGCCCUAGCCUGAAAGGCACCAGCACCUCCUGAUGCCUCAGUUUCCUUAACUGCAAAAUGGGAGCAACCUGAAUGUGGCACCCAGGGGGUUGCUGUGAAGGGCCAAGGUGCCAUCAUUGGUGCACGGCAGCCUCUGGUCAAGUAACAGCCUCUUCAUGCCUGGGGCACACAGGUAGACAGAUGGUCAAUUCCUGGGUCAGGGCAGCACAGGACAGGCCCUCCUUCGCCCUCUGCUGGCAGGGAGGGCUUGGUGCAGGAGACAGGAAGGAGCAGCACCUCCGCUGACCACCGGAGGGCAGCCACGCCCAGGCAGCUCUGUGAUAGAACCCACGGGUGUGACUCAGCAGAGAAACCCAAACUUGGACCCGCUCACUUCCUGGCCAUGCCCUGACCUCUGUGUGACUGGACUGGGGCUGGAGACACAGAUGGUCCAACAGAGAGGGACAGCCAGGGGCAAGGCCACAGGCCUUGGGACUUGAACCUACCUGGAACACAAAAACAAGUUUUACUGACAUUGUGGCCCAGGUUGUGUGUCCAGGAAGAGCCCCUGGGCCCCUGCACUGUCUGUCCUGUGUCCCAGCUAGCCAAGGUGCAGGAAAACGGGCAGAGGUCACCACUUCUAUGUGGUACUGUGUGGCCACGUUAGAAAAAGGAAAGGGAUGUGGUAUUCACCAGUUGUCUGAGCCCAGCAAGUGCCUGGCAAGCAGGACAGGUAGCAGGACCGGAGGCCUGCCCCCCCAUACCCCAUACCCCCCCCCCCGUGGCCCCGUGGCCCACUCUAUAUCACUAGGGGCGUCUAUGAAGAACUGCAGAUUCCUGGAUCCCGCUGCAGCCCCUCCAGUGGGAAGGCCUCUCACCAGGCAAGGCCUGCAACUCAGCCAGCCACAUUCCCACCACUCGGCCCCUGGAGCCGACGCAUCGAUGUCCCGAAAGCCACGGGCCUCGGUAAAUCCCCACAGAUGGACCGGUGAGCGGCCUGGCCCAGGCAAUAACGGCCCAUUGAAUUCUGAUAGGGUCGUCCCCUGAACAGGUGGGAUAAAUCUUGGCUGGUCUCUGUCAGAACUUGGCUGAGUCAUCCGGGAUUAAAUUAAUAAUGAUUAAUAGGAGGCUCCUGGAAGCGGAGCCGCUGGGGAAGAGAUUAGAGCCUGUGCUCAUGCAGUCUUUCCUCCCCC